GGCAAGUUUAGUUCAAGCUGGGCUUUGGCUUUCCUGACCUCAUCCCUACACAGCCUAGCAGCUUCCUUAUACUCUUCCCAGGGUACCUGUCCCUGUUUCCACUUCCAAUGCAUUCUCAUUCUUCAGUUUGACCAGGAGGUCCCAGUUCAGCCACACCAGUCACUUGCCUUCCUUUCCUGACUUGCUAUACUUGGGAAUGGAGAGCUUUUGUGCCCCGAGGAAAACUUUCUUCAAGAUCUGCCAGUCCUGCUCUGCGCCAUUACCCAUGAGGACAGUUUCCUGAGGUGUUUUGUUGACUAAUUUAACUUUCCUAAAAUUUAGCAUCCUGAUUUUGCCUGUCUCAUAUCCCUCUGCAGCAUGAACUUAACCACAGCAUGGUUACUACAGCCCAGGCAGCUUCCGUUCCUGAUGUCACUAGUCCAUUUGCAUUGAUGUCUGGGUGGUUGCAGUACCCCAGCAGGACAAGCCAUUGUGAUCGGGACGCCUCCUGUAGCUGAAGGAAGAAGGUCUCAUUGACAGGCUCUGCCUGAUCUGGUGGCCUGUAAUAGACACCGAUGACAAGGAUCCCUUUGCUGCCCCAGUCUCUGUCACCCGUAAUUUUUCGACUUGCUUAUGACUGUUCUUUAGGGACAGCUAUUCACAUUCUGUUCCUUUCCCAAUGUAGAUUACAACUCUCUGUACCCUCUUUCCUUGCCUGUCCCUUCCAAACAGCUUGUAGACAUUUAUAGCCAUGCUCUAGUCAUAGGAGUCAUCCCAAA
rnacentral:lncRNA from 1 species